rnacentral:rRNA from 1 species
GGAUUGGAAUGGGCGCAGCCUGAUCCAGCAAUGCCGCGUGAGUGAAGAAGGUCUUCGGAUUGUAAAGCUCUUUCGGCGGGGACGAUGAUGACGGUACCCGCAGAAGAAGCCCCGGCUAACUUCGUGCCAGCAGCCGCGGUAAUACGAAGGGGGCUAGCGUUGCUCGGAAUGACUGGGCGUAAAGGGCGCGUAGGCGGUUCGUACAGUCAGACGUGAAAUUCCCGGGCUCAACCUGGGGGCUGCGUUUGAUACGUGCGGGCUUGAGUUCGGAAGAGGGUCGUGGAAUUCCCAGUGUAGAGGUGAAAUUCGUAGAUAUUGGGAAGAACACCGGUGGCGAAGGCGGCGACCUGGUCCGAUACUGACGCUGAGGCGCGAAAGCGUGGGGAGCAAACAGGAUUAGAUACCCUGGUAGUCCACGCCGUAAACGAUGUGUGCUGGAUGUUGGGCAGUCUGACUGCUCAGUGUCGUAGCUAACGCGAUAAGCACACCGCCUGGGGAGUACGGCCGCAAGGUUGAAACUCAAAAAAAUUGACGGA